rnacentral:rRNA from 1 species
UAGGGAAUCUUCCGCAAUGGGCGAAAGCCUGACGGAGCAACGCCGCGUGAGUGAUGAAGGUCUUCGGAUCGUAAAACUCUGUUAUUAGGGAAGAACAAAUGUGUAAGUAACUAUGCACGUCUUGACGGUACCUAAUCAGAAAGCCACGGCUAACUACGUGCCAGCAGCCGCGGUAAUACGUAGGUGGCAAGCGUUAUCCGGAAUUAUUGGGCGUAAAGCGCGCGUAGGCGGUUUUUUAAGUCUGAUGUGAAAGCCCACGGCUCAACCAUAGAGGGUCAUUGGAAACUGGAAAACUUGAGUGCAGAAGAGGAGAGUGGAAUUCCAUGUGUGGCGGUGAAAUGCGCAGAGAUAUGGAGGAACACAAGUGGCGAAGACGACUUUCUGGUCUGUAACUGACGCUGAUGGGCGAAAGCGUGGGGAUCAAACAGG